UUUCCACUUAACUGAACCUUAAGCAUAUUGCUGCACUUUCGGUGUUAAUCCAGGUCAUCUGGAUCGUGGCGGCCCCUCUGCCGCCUCAUUUGACGCCUCCCUGUUGACUUUCGAGCCGCCCUAACGGAGCGGCUCUUUUUUU
rnacentral:sRNA from 1 species